AACUACAAUUGACAUCACUGUUUAAUUAUUACGAUAAUUGCAUAAAAAAUUGACUUUCCAGGUCACGCGAGAGACCACCACUGAAAUCGACUCUAUCACAUCCAUCUUCGCAAUUACAAUUACACAUGACACAACAAAACCUAAAAGCGUCAGCCAGCUGCCACGACACUGAACCCAAGUCCUUCGAGAAGAAAAUAAUAACCCGAACCAGCUCUACACUACUAGCUACACAACACGAUCCACAGCUCCUGAACCCAAAACUUCAGUUUCAUCUUCUUGUUCGACCUCUACUUCUAAUUUGGUUGGAAUGUACUACCACGGCAAAAGUUGAAAUAUUACCCGACGGCUACCUGACCAUGCAUGCUUGCCAUGUCCAAGCGGCGGCCAAGGAGCAGGGGCAGCAGGGCACAUGGUACAACGAUCCUGGCUUGUACCAAGUCACCCAAAUGCCAUCCAAAACCUGACGAGGCUAACACCUGGUAUAUACGUGCGUUUGGGAAAACUCUGCAUCCGAACCCCGAUCGAUCGAUCUAGGGGCAUCAGAUUUGUGCGGGUUAAUCCUCACUAAGUUUUCUCUAAUCUGCAUUGGUUUCGGAAGCUUGCAGACCGAAUUACACGAGACCUGACGAACAUGUUAGUGGAGGCUGCUAAGGAGGAGGGGUCUGACGGAUGCCGCGUUCAUUCAGAACGGCUUCUGCAGGUACGUGAGCAUGUCCCCGAACGCGGCGGCGUCGCGGGCGAAGGCGCCCGGCGACGGCGGGUCGAAGAUGAGCGAGCCGUCGAUGACGAACCCGUCGUCUUCUAUGACGCCGCCCCAGUCGUCGCCCGGCCACCCCGCGGCGAGGCCGGCCGCGUGCUGGCUCUCCGCGUAGUCCAUAUCGCUCGGGAAGUCGGGCGAGGGCGAGGACAGCGCGCGCUCCGAGGAGCUGGAGUCCGUGUGCAG
rnacentral:lncRNA from 1 species